UGUGUGUGUGUGUGUGUGUGUGUGUGUGUGUGUGUGUGUGUGUGUGUGUGUGUGUGUGUGUGUGUGUGUGUGUGUGUGUGUGUGUGUGUGUGUGUGUGUGUGUGUGUGUGUAGUUAGAUUUGGUGUUUGUACUUAAUAUACUGUGAGAAAAUAUUGAUUGUUACUGAUCUGCAGAGGCUGGCAAGAAGAAAUUGUCUUAAUUGUUGAUUGAUAGCUUUAUUAUGAGGUUAAGGAAGAGAUAAAGAUAAUGAAUUUGUCAGAGAGAGAGAGAGAGAGAGAGAGAGAGAGAGAGUGUAUAUGUGAUGUUUAUAUAUAGUGAUGUCUGUGCAAUAUUUAAUUCUGUUCAAUUUUGAUAUCCUAACUUUGUAUAUAUCACCAUGGUAACACCUGCACACACACACACACACACACACACACACACACACACACACACACACACACACACACACACACACACACACACACACACACACACACA